GCAGAGAGGAGGAUCAAGAAGCGAGAGAAAGAGAGCGCGACAGGGGAUCAGCGCUUUCGCAUUCAGUCCGAUUAAGAGGUCUCCCAGGCAGCCGCCCUCUCCUCACACAGACACACACGCCCUGCCGAGAGGCAACGGCUCUCCUCCCAGUCAGAUCUCCCACACAGGGAAGGCGCCCCAAUGUUACCAACUCCAUCCCAGGCUGAAGCAGCCGCCGCCAUGUUGGGUCAUCAGGUCAUUUAUCUGUCCAGAGAAUGAAGCUGCCAUGGAUCUUAUGGAUUUUAAGGCACCCAGCCUGCAGUGAGAUCAAUUUUACUAUCAGCAAUCAUCAUCUGAAACCUCAAUGACUUCCUUGCUCAGAACUGAUGUGUGAGACUCCUCUGAAGGUUAGGAUAUCAAGAGGUAGGGAAGAGGAAAGCAAGAACUGGCCAUCCAAGGCCUUUGCAUCUUUAUGAAGACAGGAGCAGGGCUGGCUUUGCUGCUCUCCCCCCCCCCCCAGGCUGGGUUGGCUGGAGGAUUCCGGAAGUUCCAUGGAUGUGGACAGUUGCCAGACUGAGCUGUGAUGCUGCUUGUUUCCUAAUCCGUGCUGAACAAACAAAGUGCUGAUUGAGUCUAAUGGUCCCUUUAAUCAGAGAGCUGGGCGCUGACACUAGAUUACAGUGUUUAUAAUUUACAGCUAAUCAUUCGCAUAGAAAAGGAAACAAAAUAUAAACUGCAGCAGUUGAAAACUUUUCACAUUAACAGGCCUACUUAGUGAUUAUUUCUGAGCAGGGAGCCAAGUGUAAGGGAGAUGUCGGCGAAUGGGCCAGGCCCCCUCUUCCAUCUCGCAGUUGUUAUUGUAAGUCCUAAAGAGGAGAUUUGCCCAGCUGCUGCUGCAUUAAAUGUUACUGACUUUCUUUCAGAAGAACCCAGAGUCCUAGUGUUGCUUCCAGACAAGACAUGGAGGGUCUAUUUACAGGACCCUGGAGCGCACAGUGCCAGCAGGAAAAGCACACCAGAAGCCUGCCCCUCUAGACUCCUAAUCUGUGCCUGUCUUGAGCUCCAUCAUAUGUAGGAGCUCUUUGCAUCAUGUCUCUGCAGUUUUUAACCAUUGGUAACAUCAUGCCAAAAUCUGAAUCUCACACGUCGUGGCAAAUACACACGGCUGCUUUGCCAUGGACUGGGAUGACUUCCAGCCAUGAGCAUACAGAUGAUUGUGGCCCUAACCUGUAGCAAAAUGGCUAUAAGUAUGUGAGGAGUCAAGCUAAAUGCAGUCACCAUCUUCAGAGGAGGAGUACCACUGCCUCCAGGAUGCUGGGGACAAAGGAGGAUUGUUGCCCUGCUCAUGAACUUCCCAAAGACGUCUGGCUGUCUGCGCUGGAAUGGCAUGCCAUGCCCUCCAACAUGUCACCGAUGAAAACAGGGACAUGCCUGUAGCAUGUUAUUCCUGAUUCCCAAAGCAGAUGAGCCAAGCACACUCCAAAUUUUUACAGAUGAAAAUAGGGAUACACUUCUAACAACCAAUUCUCAUACCAAGGAUUACUGCCCAGCCCUUCAUCUACUAUUACACAUUGCUGAAGACUGGAUUCCACCUGCUGUACAUGGUGCGCUGCAUAAUGCUUUGGAGCUGUGCACCCAUUGAUGUGCAAGUUCCCUAGAGACACACAAUUCAUCUAUCCACCCACCUACCCACUUGGGAGUUGUAAUUGCUAGAGACUCUGGAGAGGAAGCUGAAUCCUGAAGAAUGGCAAUAUGACAAAUCUAGCAACUCGCAUUAAAAAGAAUUAAGAAGGCCUCCCCAAGAGCCAAUAAUAGCAAUUUACCAGGGAUGGAUUCCAGAAAAUAGGGACUAUCCCCGGUAAGUAGCCUAUGGAAUACUGGAUGAGAAGGAUCUUUGGCUGUAUCCAGUACAAUUCUGCAUGUUCUUUAUUAUUUCAGCAAAGGACUUGGAAAACAGAUCAAGCCUAAUAGAUUGUGCCACAGGAGAGCCAGGCCCUAAAUAGAUAGGCCAGCAGUAGUGCCCUGAGGGGAAAGGUUCCUACUUCAAUCUGGCCCAGGCCUCAUCCCCCUGCAGCCUCCUGCCCUAAGCUGAUUGGCCAGGAAAGACCACAUGUGACAGGGUACAACUAAGCAGUGUGCAUGCCGAACACCACGGGCCAUGCUAUUUCAGCUGGCCACACUCUGCGCCAACUAUGCCACUGCCCCCCUUGCUGGCCAGGCACAAAGUGCCUUCCCUCCAAACAAGUCAAAGAGAUCUAGGCGUUAUAAAGCUCUUCUUUCUAGCCUAGAUUAUUGUAUUUUGACUGAUUGUUUGUGUAUUUUCCAUUCACUUCUGCUUACCAUUAACAACUGUUCUUCGGGCUAGCUCCCAAAGGACAAGGCCAUAUGCCCAGAUGUCAGUCCGUUUGAAGGAUUCAAAGCAGUCCAUACGAAUCUGUUCAUCUAAAACCUCAGGUGCCAUGUAGCGUUUGGUGCCCACCCGUGGGUUGUUCCCAAUGUCCAGGUUGUCGUUGCUCUGGGAAUGCAUGACUGCCAGACCUGAAAGGGAGCAAUUAAGCCAAAGAUUAGAAGAAGGUUCGUCUAGGAAAGCAGCCUUCAGUCCAGUCCUUUUAUGGGAGCCUAUUUCUUCCCUGCGUGACCGGAGACAAAGUUCAUAAUGUCCCCGUGCCUCAGUUUCUCUGACAUGGGAUACCAGCACCAUCCUCCAUCAUAAGGCUAGAUAUUGGGGUGAUGGGGAGAAAGGCAUAUAGGGAAAGGUUUAGCAGGAUGGCACAACUUUUGUGAUGUUUAUUAUAUAACUGGGAAACUUGAGACUGCAGGUAUGACUUGGUGUAUUUAUUUGGUGAAGAGUGCACGUGAGUCUUCAUGGCAGACUUGAAAGGGCUAGCAUGUGUAUCCAGUAUACAUGGUUCACAUGUGCUACAACCUCAGCCAAUGCUUGUUUCUCACCUCCCCUUGGCCACCUGGUGUGCUGAUCAAGAAACCAACAAGAUUCACCCUUUAGGCAAGGAGAUUUCUCUUCUUCCAGGAACUUGUAUGAUCCACUUCUUGUUUUACAGAAGUCUAACCAGAGUUAGGGUAGAAUUCUGCUGAAUAGAAUUUCCUUGGAAUUCUCAGUAGAUGGCUCUGACAUACAUUCCUAGGACCGGAUUGAUUGCCAUAUUUGAUAUCAAGAAGUAACAUUUUAUUUGAGUGAGGUUGUGUAGUGACCCUGGCAUGAUUUUGCCUUCCUCCAUAGAUUGGCUCAGUUGUAAGAGUUACCUGUAGAUACUGCAGGAUAAGCACCUCAAAAAGUGCAUUUACCCUUUUCCUGAACGACCUGUGUCGUGUAAAUAUGCUUUUUAUGGGGUAGCAGAGUCAGAUGUGGUAGAGAUCAUGUUAGGCUAAUGACCUGGGAGACUUGUGGGUCAGAGGCUGGGAAUCAAUCACCUCAGGUUUCCUAGGAAGCUUCCUUAUGCAGAGGUAGGCAGAGGCACAUUUGCCAGAAGGGCUUGGUCAGCAACUGUCGCCCACUCACCCAGAUCAGCAAUGCAGCAUUGUUUAUUGCUCUUGACCAGGAUGUUCCUGCUCUUCAGAUCCCGGUGAGCAAUGGCUGGUUUGCCCUGGGUGCCAAAGAUCUCCACGUGUAGGUGAACAAGCCCGCAGAUGAUGGAGGCAGCCAAGCGCAGGCAGUUCUCCACAUCCAGUGCUGUGUACUGCAAGUAGUCAUAGAGGGAGCCAUGUUCAUGGUAGUGGGUGAUCAGCCACAGCUGCGUGCUUGAGUUCCUGGAUGUCAUGUCCGAGGCAAUGAAUCCUGUGGGUUAUGAAGGAGGGCAGUGCUCAGGAGUGGGUCCAGGCAGGCAGAUAGGCAUAAUUAUAAGAGAUUUCAGAAAGAAAUGAAAAAUGGCUGCCUGUACUGAAAACAACUGAGAACACUAUUGAAUAAACACUUGACAAAAUAAUCCCAUACGCUCCUGCCACUUUUUUUUUUUUUUAAACUAAUGGUUCAUCUAGACCAGCACUGUGAACCUUGACUGGAAAUGGCUCCACAUGGUCUCAGGCAACAGUCUUUUCCAGGCCCUGAUAUGAGAGACUGCUUUGUGCCUUACUCAGACAAAGCAUGGACCAAACUAAACUGUAAUCUCUCUCCACUGUGGCCAGUCUCCCCUCUCUUCUUUAAGUAGAAAAAGGAGGAGGAUCUGCUGGAAAGGGCUCCUAGCAUGAUUCUUCCUGGUUUCUGUUUAGUGUACCAUUAACAUACUACGUCAUCCAACAAUAAGCCUUAAUAUUUCUGAGCUUGAUGGUCCCUCUAUACCAUUAUCUUCUCCAUUCACCUUUUUUCACUCGAGCUGCAACAUUUCAUCAAUUAAUCAAUUCAAACCCUUUUGAUGGACUAAAAAGGUGCCUCCAGUUAAAUGAACAACAGUGCUUAAAAACGUUAACUAUUUUACAAGUCAUUAUAUUGGAUUGGUUCUAAGAAUGAAAGUAAUCUCUUACA